CGAGCUCUCAGGGAGUCACCUGCAGGGCCAACAUUUCAUUUUUAUUACCUCCUCAGAGGCCGGGCUAGAGGGAAAUGAAUUUGAGGGAAGCAGCCGAACAUGUUCUGGGAGCAGCCAGCUUCUCUUUCCUUCCCACUGCAUGCGCUUUGUUUUACUUCCCACCAAACGGUGAUUGAAAUUCAUCUCACAUUUAUCGUUAGGUGCCAGACGGCCACGUUCUCGCUCACAGGACCCUGUGGCUCAGCAGAGUACCACAAAAUUCUCUGUGGAAAUAUUUCAUAUACUGAUGUUACAGCUACAUUAUCUCUUUAAAGAAACACAAAGUCUUAGAGGUGACAACUUGCUCAAGGUAAGCAGAAUAAGGUAUCCUAAAACAAAAUGGUUUUUCUUGGGGGCGGGGCGGGGGGCUUCAGUGCGAUGUGGUACAUUUUUUGGUAACAAGUAUGUUUGCAGGAAGCCGAGUUAAGUUUUGUAAUUUUGUGCUUUCAGUGCGUCAGGCGUCCCACAAGGUGUUUCUUGAACAAAGGUAGACACUUAGGCAGCAACUAAGAAUCAACUCAUUCUAACGUUAACCUGUUUAUUGAACAAAAACAUAAGACCAGGAUAACUGUGUGAUUCUUGAAGAGCAUACUAGAGGGAAAGAAAACACAUUAAUAUUGAAUGGAUACUUUUGGCAGAAGUGUUACUGCUUUCAUUCAACUAUUUUGGUAACAUAAAAACCCAGGGACUUUGAUGAUAUUACAGUGUCUGUGUGUUGUAUUUUUUAGGCAGACUUUUGCUGAGUAAGGAAAUUCUUCGAAGUAGUUCUCAUUCAGAGCAGUUUUACCCCCCACUACCCUACCCUUUUAAGUCCCAGAGGCACUGCUGAUGUUGAUUACUACACCUUAGCUUGGGUUACUAGGAACUUGAGGCAAUGGAACUUGGCAUUGAAAGGUCCCAAGAAAGUUGGGAGGGAGGUUUGUUUUACAGAGAGGGAGAGAGAAAAGGGCUUGGGGAAGGAGUAAGAAUCUUAAGUAGCUCCACACCCAAUCUCACGACCCUGAGCUGAAAUCAAGUCAGACACUUAACUGACCAAGCCAUCGAGGAGCCCUAAGAAAGAUCUUUUUAAAAGUUACAUGUUAUGCUUCUAAAAUAUCUAACAGUUUGCUAUUUCAUCUAUAUUUAUUAUAUUUGAGAAACCAAGCCUUUGACAACA